UACAGAGGGUGCAAGCGUUGUUCGGAAUUAUUGUGCGUAAAGCGCGUGUAGGCGGCUUUGCAAGUCGGGUGUGAAAGCCCUCAGCUCAACUGAGGAAGUGCGCCCGAAACUGCAGAGCUUGAGUGCCGGAGAGGGUGGCGGAAUUCCCCAAGUAGAGGUGAAAUUCGUAGAUAUGGGGAGGAACACCGGUGGCGAAGGCGGCCACCUGGACGGUAACUGACGCUGAGACGCGAAAGCGUGGGGAGCAAACAGG
rnacentral:rRNA from 1 species